rnacentral:misc_RNA from 1 species
CAGUAUUGGAAGCCAAGUUUACAGAAGUAAGCUUGCCAUCUGAGAACAUGAUGCGGCGAUGGAUGUAUGCCCCUUGCAAGAAAUCAAAACUUUCACCAUCGUCAAUGUAAAGUUCUCCUUCAGCUGAUUGAGAACUGUUUAGAGCUAUCACCUAUGGACAAGUUAAAAUCAGUGGCUGUUCAUGCUAAGAACCAAAAAAAGGUCUAAUAUAUAGAGAUAUCUGAAUUCAAAGAAGUUGCAGCAAUUACAUGGUUAAAUGCAUUUUGAUAUUUAAAGAUAGGGAUAAACUUUGAUGCAAGUUUAUCUAUGCCUGAGUAUGAAACCUAUGUUAACCAAAGGGAAUAGAACAAGAUGAUAACUGUUUCACCACCUGAUCUCUAACCCAUAAACCCCCACCUUGCUUUCUAUUCCAAGAACACCAUCUCUUGAGUUACCUCUACAAUCGAAAACUACCCCAUUAUUCUUUUUUCAGGUUUCAUUUUAAUGAAAUUUAACUAUGCAAACCCCAAAUUAUAAUAUAACCAGUAAUAAAUUAUAAUAUGACCAGUAAUUAUAGAGCUAUGAUAAGCAGAUUCAUGAGACAUGAGGUUACAAAAAUAAGAAUUUUAAACAUGCUAUGGCGUUGUCAAGUAAUUGAUGAUACCUCCAAGAAUGGAACUUCUUGUUGGGGCAAGACUUUUUGUGUAUAUAUAUAUGAGUGCCCCAAUCAGUGUUGUAUAUGCAGUUGAAACAAAUAUGCGCCUAAAAGUAUCAGUUGUCAAUUACAUACCAGACUGUAAGGAUCAUUCACCAUCUGUGUGGAGCUUCGACGAUACCGGUCCUUUCUUGGUAUGAUAGUUCCAGCCCUUUGGAAAGCAGGAACACUCUCCUCUGAAACCUCCAGCUUGUGGGUUCUACCUCCCUUAAAUGCAGCUCCUGUUCUGAGGUCAUACCAAGAUUCUUUCCCAGGCAAGUAGACAGAAGCAUGUUUAGCUCGCUCAGUGUAAAUCCCUUGCACCAAAAGACUGCCUCCAACCAUGAAAGCUUCAUCAUUGCUGAAAGUAGCUUCAUCAGAAGGGAACUCCAUCCACAAAGGCCGCAUGACAGGAAUACCACUAAAGUUUGCUUCUCUGAAUAAUGUGUAGAAAUAUGGGAGCAACAUGUAACGAACAUGUAUGGCUUCUCUGAUAAGCUCUGUAUUUCGCUCCCCAAAUAGCCAAGGUUCUCUUCUCUUAGUGUCAAGAUGAGCAUGAGCUCGAAAGAAAGGAUAGUAAGCACCAAGCUGAUACCAGCGAACGAGUAACUCGGGCUCUGGAUUCCCAAAGAAGCCACCAACAUCCGCGCCAGAGAAUGACAUUCCAGUGAGACCUAGAGUCAGAAUCAUUGGAACUGAAACCCUUAAUUGAUCCCAAUCUGCUGUGUUGUCUCCAGUCCAAACAGCUCCAUACCUUUGACUUCCAGCAUAAAAUGCUCUUGACAAAACGAAGGGCCUGCUCUUCCCAUCUCCGCGCUUUAAAAGCCCAUCAGAUGUUGCCAUGUGGAAGAAGUAGCCGUAGGAAUUAUGCAACUCCCUGUGCUCUAUGCCCCCAUAAUGCAAAAUAUCUCUAGGCAUUGUUACCUCUGGGCCAUUGAACACUGAAGGCUCAUUCAUAUCGUUCCAAAUAUACAAUGUAGGGGUUGAACCCACAUACUCCUUGUAUGAGAACUUGUCACCCCACCAUGAUCUGAUCUCUGGAUUCAACAUGUCCAAGUAGGAAGAUGAACCGGGCCAGCACCAUCCCUCAUAAUCAUUCCCACUUGCAUCCUUCACAUAGUAACCCUUCUCUGUAGCCUGUUUAUGCAGCCGAAACGACUCAUCCCGCUUAACAUGAGGGUCCACAAUAGUAACCAUGUGCCUUCCCUUGACUGCCAAUUUCUUCUGCAUAUCCUCUGGAUGUGGAAACAAAACAGGAUCCCAUGUGAAGUACCUUUUACCAUCUGUGUGCUCAAUAUCAAGCCACAAAACAUCAUAAGGAAUAUCAUGCUCAUCAAAUUUGGAAUCCACAUUCUCAACAUCCUCCUCAUCCCUGUAAUUCCACCUACAUUGAUGAUAAGCAGUUGCAAAUAAUUGUGGCAUUGAAGGUUUUCCAGUGACACUCGUGUAUUGGCUGACAACAUCCUUGGGGCCUGGACCCAGAAAGAAGAAGGCAUCCACAAUCCCAGCCUCACUCAUCCAAAAGGUAUCAAUUCUUUUCUGCCCUGAAGGCAGCGAAAUCCCAGACUCUGCGUCCCAUCCAUCUCCUAAAACAUCAAUCUGCAUUUCGGCUGCAUUCAACCAGAAAAAUCCAGAGCUUUUUCCGGUUUUGCCAUGCGCAAUCAUGAAAGGGAUAGACCCAUAGAGGCCAAAGGGCGAGUCAUGCAAGUACUCAAAAACAUCCAAAUUAAACAAUCUGUAAGGCUCAGAAUAGUCGACUCCAGGACCUCUGGUAGGCCUCAAGGCGAGACUCGUGGCGUGCUCCGGUAUCCCUGACACGAAAUCAGCACCGUAAAAGGACACAUCAAAACUAAUGGAUUGGGGACCGUAGGGCCUCGUGUCUGUAUGACCCCUAAACCUCUCCUCCCAAUCAUCCCCUUCCUUUUUAGGCCUCAAUUGCUCCAAAUCGAACAACUGAUGAGAAUUCAAGGAAACCACACGGCGAUCAUUAGAUUUUUUCUCGCGGACAUAAACCUCGAAUGGAUCAUGACGAAGGACAGCCUCAUACUCGUCCGAUAAGUAAACGACGGAGGAGGGACCAGCGUCCCCGUCGAUCGUUUCUGUUGAAACCCUCUGGAGCCAUAGCUUCUUGUUCUCGAAAUCCGGGAUGAUUACGUCAGGGACUUGGAAGCGUCUUUUCGGAGGCUCCAGAGAGAGAUCCUCAUCGAUUUUGAGACGCAUGAUGCCAUCUUGAUAGAUCGAGAGAGUAAGGAUCAAAGGCUUGAUUUGAUCUUCUAGACCUUGAUCUAAUUCUGGUAGGGUUUUGGGGAGAAGCUUGGCGGUGAGGUGACCGUCGGAGAUGGCUACGUCAUGGGCGAUUAGUGAACACGCACCAGGCUUCCUGGAGCGGGCGCGUUUGCAGAAGGGGGUUUGGUUGCAAUUUCGAAACUCGUCUUUUUUCCAGGAAAGUACUGUUUGCGAGGCGAGAAAAAGUACCAGAAGAAGAUGAAGAAGAAAACAAAGAAUUCUCAUCUGGGACUUCAUUUCAAUGGGCAAGGAUCAUAGUUAAGAGAAAAGCCCUAGAAAUGGAUCAUUUUGCUGUUAACUACUUAACACUGGCUUCAUUGACCAGUGACCAGCCGGAG